GAGCGCCGAGCAUACACCACAGUUAUUAUUACCAUUUUUCAAUUCCAAGCCCGUCGGCUCCACCGCUAUUCACGUACCCUUGGCGAAGAAGCAGUGGUACGCCACGGAACUGCCCAGAUUGUUUCUCUCUUUGCGGCCCAGGGGAAAAGAGCUCGGCGACCGAGGCGAGACGAGGAGAGCGCGGAUUUGCCCGGAGACGUAAAACCCGCAGAGAGACCGCACGGGUCGCGCGGGCCUUCGCUCGGAAGACUCCCCACCGGCCGCUCCCGGAGUGCUAUCGGUCACUCCUUCCCUCCUCUCGGCCCGGCGAGCGGGCGCCUCGAUUAAAUCCGGCGGAAGCGGGCCUCUCCUCCUGCCGUUCCGUCCGGGAGCCGCCUGACCACCGAAAGAGCCUCCGUCCCUCGUCCCGUCCGACGGCCCGGGGCUCCUCACGGACGCGGCCCCCGUUUCCCUGAUCACCGGGCCGACCGUCCGGGCCGUGCCCCACGUCCGGCUUCCGGACAGAGAAGCACAGAAAAACAGGGAAACUCCAACCCCGUAAACCCCGUGUGAGAUUGGAGAUAGAACAGAAGAACGACAAAAGCGUGCCCACGGGAGAAUUAGAGGGAAAAGAACUCUUUUGCCAGCGCGAGGCAUUACUGGAUCACCGACAGGGUAACCUCGGUCCUAUAUAACCCUCCACCUGUCCGGAGACACGAGGCGGGUGCGGGCGGCGACUCUGAUCUCUGGCCUCCGGGGCAGGCCGGAUCGCUUUUCUACAAAAUCGUGCAGGACGUGUCACCCGCCCCCCAGAGUAACUCCAGCGAUUGCACAUUCACCUCCGCCUCAAACAAAAACGUGGCUAAAAUCCGCCCUCUCCUCUCCAUCCAAACGCCACCGCGUGAGUUUAAUC